GGGGUUGUGGCUCAGCGGUAGAGCACAUGCCUAGCAUGUGCAAGGCCCUGGGUUCAAUCCUCAGCACCA
rnacentral:tRNA from 1 species